rnacentral:lncRNA from 1 species
CAUAAUGGAAGAGAUGCUUCGGUGGAUAGGACUUCACCAAUGAUCCCUGCGGCUUGCUGAGGGUCUUCUACUCUAGUGAUUGUAUUAUCACUCUAGUGAUUAUAUUAUCACUCUAGCCCAUAGUGACCCCCGCAUCAAGUCCCCUAACUUCUCCAGCUGUCUCUAAUAAAAUUGGUGGUCAACUUUCUUAUUGCUUUCCUUCAAGCAUGGAUUAAUAUUUAAGCACAAUGAGCCACAAAAAAUGGUAAGUGUGGCGAUACCAAAGUGGUAAGUGUGGCUGUAUAAAAAUAGAAAACAACUAUAG